rnacentral:rRNA from 1 species
AGUGAACGCUGGCGGUAGGCCUAACACAUGCAAGUCGAACGGCAGCACAGUAAGAGCUUGCUCUUACGGGUGGCGAGUGGCGGACGGGUGAGGAAUACAUCGGAAUCUACUUUUUCGUGGGGGAUAACGUAGGGAAACUUACGCUAAUACCGCAUACGACCUAUGGGUGAAAGCAGGGGAUCUUCGGACCUUGCGCGAUUGAAUGAGCCGAUGUCGGAUUAGCUAGUUGGCGGGGUAAAGGCCCACCAAGGCGACGAUCCGUAGCUGGUCUGAGAGGAUGAUCAGCCACACUGGAACUGAGACACGGUCCAGACUCCUACGGGAGGCAGCAGUGGGGAAUAUUGGACAAUGGGCGCAAGCCUGAUCCAGCCAUACCGCGUGGGUGAAGAAGGCCUUCGGGUUGUAAAGCCCUUUUGUUGGGAAAGAAAAGCAGCAGGUUAAUACCCCGCUGUUCUGACGGUACUCAAAGAAUAAGCACCGGCUAACUUCGUG